rnacentral:rRNA from 1 species
GACGAACGCUGGCGGCGCGCUUAACACAUGCAAGUCGAGCGAGAACCGAGGCUUCGGCCUCGGGGACAGCGGUGAACGGGUGAGUAACACGUGGGUAAUCUGCCCUCGACACCGGAAUAGCCCGGGGAAACCUGGAUUAAUGCCGGAUGGCCCGCCCGCCUUUCGAGGCGGUCGGAAAAGGUAGCUUUGGCCUCCGGUCGAGGAUGAGCCCGCGGCGGAUUAGCUUGUUGGCGGGGUAACGGCCCACCAAGGCGACGAUCCGUAGCUGGUCUGAGAGGACGAUCAGCCACACUGGGACUGGGACACGGCCCAGACUCCUACGGGAGGCAGCAGUGGGGAAUCUUGCGCAAUGGGCGAAAGCCUGACGCAGCGACGCCGCGUGCGGGAAGAAGGCCUUAGGGUUGUAAACCGCUUUCAGGAGGGACGAAGCCACUCGGGUUAAUAGCCCAGAGGGUGACGGUACCUCCAGAAGAAGCCCCGGCUAACUACGUGCCAGCCGCCGCGGUAACAC